CAUACACAUGCAGUCGAGCGGUAGCACAGGGAGCUUGCUCCUGGGUGACGAGCGGCGGACGGGUGAGAAAUGUCUGGGAAACUGCCUGAUGGAGGGGGAUAACUACUGGAAACGGUAGCUAAUACCGCAUAACGUCGCAAGACCAAAGAGGGGGACCUUCGGGCCUCUUGCCAUCAGAUGUGCCCAGAUGGGAUUAGCUAGUAGGUGGGGUAACGGCUCACCUAGGCGACGAUCCCUAGCUGGUCUGAGAGGAUGACCAGCCACACUGGAACUGAGACACGGUCCAGACUCCUACGGGAGGCAGCAGUGGGGAAUAUUGCACAAUGGGCGCAAGCCUGAUGCAGCCAUGCCGCGUGUAUGAAGAAGGCCUUCGGGUUGUAAAGUACUUUCAGCGGGGAGGAAGGUGUUGAGGUUAAUAACCUCGUCAAUUGACGUUACCCGCAGAAGAAGCACCGGCUAACUCCGUGCCAGCAGCCGCGGUAAUACGGAGGGUGCAAGCGUUAAUCGGAAUUACUGGGCGUAAAGCGCACGCAGGCGGUCUGUCAAGUCGGAUGUGAAAUCCCCGGGCUCAACCUGGGAACUGCAUUCGAAACUGGCAGGCUAGAGUCUUGUAGAGGGGGGUAGAAUUCCAGGUGUAGCGGUGAAAUGCGUAGAGAUCUGGAGGAAUACCGGUGGCGAAGGCGGCCCCCUGGACAAAGACUGACGCUCAGUGCGAAAGCGUGGGGAGCAAACAGGAUUAGAUACCCUGGUAGUCCACGCCGUAACGAUGUCGACUUGGAGGUUGUUCCCUUGAGGAGUGGCUUCGGAGCUAACGCGUUAAGUCGACCGCCUGGGGAGUACGGCGCAAGGUAAAACUCAAAUGAAUGACGGGGGCCCGCACAAGCGGUGGAGCAUGUGGUUAAUUCGAUGCAACGCGAGAACCUUACCUACUCUGACAUUCAGAGAACUUUCCAGAGAUGGAUUGGUGCCUUCGGGAACUCUGAGACAGGGGCUGCAUGGCUGUCGUCAGCUCGUGUUGGAUGUUGAGUAAGUCCGGACAGGGCAACUUAUCUUGUGCCACGGUCCGACC
rnacentral:rRNA from 1 species